rnacentral:rRNA from 1 species
AUUAUUGGGCGUAAGGGCUCGCAGGCGGUUUCUUAAGUCUGAUGUGAAAGCCCCCGGCUCAACCGGGGAGGGUCAUUGGAAACUGGGAAACUUGAGUGCAGAAGAGGAGAGUGGAAUUCCACGUGUAGCGGUGAAAUGCGUAGAGAUGUGGAGGAACACCAGUGGCGAAGGCGACUCUCUGGUCUGUAACUGACGCUGAGGAGCGAAAGCGUGGGGAGCGAACAGGAUUAGAUACCCUGGUAGUCCACGCCGUAAACGAUGAGUGCUAAGUGUUAGGGGGUUUCCGCCCCUUAGUGCUGCAGCUAACGCAUUAAGCACUCCGCCUGGGGAGUACGGUCGCAAGACUGAAACUCAAAGGAAUUGACGGGGGCCCGCACAAGCGGUGGAGCAUGUGGUUUAAUUCGAAGCAACGCGAAGAACCUUACCAGGUCUUGACAUCCUCUGACAACCCUAGAGAUAGGGCUUUCCCUUCGGGGACAGAGUGACAGGUGGUGCAUGGUUGUCGUCAGCUCGUGUCGUGAGAUGUUGGGUUAAGUCCCGCAACGAGCGCAACCCUUGAUCUUAGUUGCCAGCAUUCAGUUGGGCACUCUAAGGUGACUGCCGGUGACAAACCGGAGGAAGGUGGGGAUGACGUCAAAUCAUCAUGCCCCUUAUGACCUGGGCUACACACGUGCUACAAUGGACAGAACAAAGGGCUGCAAGACCGCAAGGUUUAGCCAAUCCCAUAAAUCUGUUCUCAGUUCGGAUCGCAGUCUGCAACUCGACUGCGUGAAGCUGGAAUCGCUAGUAAUCGCGGAUC